GUCAGUGUGGUGCAGUGGAUUGAGUGUUGGAUUAUGACUCUGGAGACCAGGGUUUGAUUCCCAGCUUGGUCA